GAUGAACGCUGGCGGCGUGCCUAAUACAUGCAAGUCGAGCGAACAGACGAGGAGCUUGCUCCUCUGACGUUAGCGGCGGACGGGUGAGUAACACGUGUAUAACCUACCUAUAAGACUGGGAUAACUUCGGGAAACCGGAGCUAAUACCGUAUAAUAUAUUGAACCGCAUGGUUCAAUAGUGAAAGACGGUUUUGCUGUCACUUAUAGAUGGAUCCGCGCCGCAUUAGCUAGUUGGUAAGGUAACGGCUUACCAAGGCAACGAUGCGUAGCCGACCUGAGAGGGUGAUAGGCCACACUGGAACUGAGACACGGUCCAGACUCCUACGGGAGGCAGCAGUAGGGAAUCUUCCGCAAUGGGCGAAAGCCUGACGGAGCAACGCCGCGUGAGUGAUGAAGGUCUUCGGAUCGUAAAACUCUGUUAUUAGGGAAGAACAAAUGUGUAAGUAACUAUGCACGUCUUGACGGUACCUAAUCAGAAAGCCACGGCUAACUACGUG
rnacentral:rRNA from 1 species